rnacentral:rRNA from 1 species
UGCCAGCAGCCGCGGUAAUACGUAGGUGGCAAGCGUUACUCGGAAUCAUUGGGUGUAAAGGGCAAGUAGGCGGUCUAUUAAGUGAGGGGUGAAAUCUUCCGGCUCAAUCGGAAAACUGCCUUUCAAACUACUAGACUUGAGGAUGGAAGAGGAAAACGGAAUUAGCAGUGUAAGGGUGAAAUCUGUAGAUAUUGCUAAGAACACCAACAGCGAAGGCAGUUUUCUGGUCCAUAUCUGACGCUGAAUUGCGAAAGCUAGGGGAGCGAACGGAAUUAGAUA